AGAAAGCCGCUUGUCUUCCUGAUGAUGCUUAUCUCUUGGAAAAUAUGAAAGGAGCGAAACGCUAGAGCUUUCCGCAACACGGCCGUCCCGGUGAGAGUGUUGGUCGCCAGGAUAAAAAAGGAGUGCCAGCUUUGGAGCCUUGCGGGAGAAAAACAUUUGUGUAACAUUACGCCGCAGAGUGAUGUACUCUCUUAA
rnacentral:rRNA from 1 species